GGCACUUUGGUUAAGAACUUGGCUGCAAACCAAAAGAUUGGUGGUUUGAAUCCACCAGGUGUUA
rnacentral:tRNA from 1 species